GUGCUCGCUUUGGAAGCAUAUAUACCAAAAUUGGAAUACAGAGAUUAGCAUGGCCCCUGCACAAAGAUGACACACAAAUUCAUGUAUUGUUCCAUACUUUU
rnacentral:snRNA from 1 species